rnacentral:rRNA from 1 species
GAGCUCCAAUCUGGCAGAACAAAAGGAAGUGAUUCCAAUAGUAUCCGCCAGAAAUGUUGUGACUAAAAAGUUUGUAUUUGAAGCACCAGAUUAUUCAUCUGGAAAUAUGAAAUUUUAUAAUGAUAUGGUGUUUAAA